rnacentral:rRNA from 1 species
UACGGAGGGAGCGAGCGUUGUCCGAAGUUACUGGGCGUAAAGCGCGCGUAGGCGGCUUGUUGCGUCGACUGUGAAAACCCGCGGCUUAACUGCGGGCUUGCAGUUGAUACGGGCAGGCUAGAGUUCGGUAGGGGAGACUGGAAUUCCUGGUGUAGCGGUGAAAUGCGCAGAUAUCAGGAGGAACACCGGUGGCGAAGGCGGGUCUCUGGGCCGAUACUGACGCUGAGGAGCGAAAGCGUGGGGAGCGAACAGG